rnacentral:rRNA from 1 species
AUUGAACGCUGGCGGCAGGCCUAACACAUGCAAGUCGAACGAGCGGCGGACGGGUGAGUAAUGUCUGGGAAACUGCCUGAUGGAGGGGGAUAACUACUGGAAACGGUAGCUAAUACCGCAUACCAUCAGAUGUGCCCAGAUGGGAUUAGCUAGUAGGUGGGGUAAGGGCUCACCUAUGCGCCUAUCGCUAGCUGGUCUGAGAGGCUGACCAGCCAAACUGGAACUGAGACACGGGCCAGACUCCUACGGGAGGCAGCAGGGGGGAAUAUUGCACAAUGGGCGCAAGCCUGAUGCAGCCAUGCCGCGUGUGUGAAGAAGGCCUUCGGGUUGUAAAGUACUUUCAGCGAGGAGGCGUUACUCGCAGAAGAAGCACCGGCUAACUCCGUGCCAGCAGCCGCGGUAAUUC